UCCCGGGGAGACUAGUGGUUAGGCCACGGCGCUCUCACCGCUGAUGCCUGGGUUUGAUUCCCGCCCAGGGGA